AACGAACGCUGGCGGCAGGCUUAACACAUGCAAGUCGAACGCGUGUAGCAAUACACGAGUGGCGCACGGGUGAGUAACACGUGGAUUAUCUGCCUCUUGGUUCGGAAUAACCCCGGGAAACUGGGGCUAAUACCGAAUGGUUCCUACGGGAUAAAGAUUUAUCGCCAUGAGAUGAGUCCGCGUCCGAUUAGCUAGUUGGUGGGGUAACGGCCUACCAAGGCGACGAUCGGUAGCUGGUCUGAGAGGACGAUCAGCCACACUGGGACUGAGACACGGCCCAGACUCCUACGGGAGGCAGCAGUGGGGAAUAUUGGACAAUGGGGGCAACCCUGAUCCAGCCAUGCCGCGUGAGUGAUGAAGGCCUUCGGGUUGUAAAGCUCUUUUGGCGGGGACGAUGAUGACGGUACCCGCAGAAUAAGCCCCGGCUAACUUCGUGCCAGCCGCCGCGGUAAUAC
rnacentral:rRNA from 1 species